CAUAAAGUGUGUGGUACAGGCUCUGUCCUACCGUCUUAGAGGGGCAGGGGUUAUUGGUGUAGGCAGAAGUAUCUGGCUGCAGUAGGGGGUCAGGCUCUGAUCAAGGCAGGGGUCUGACAGCUGUCCUCUGAGUGUCUGUGAGGAAAGUGCAUCCCUGUUCUGUAGAGCACACGGGUGGGUUCUGCAGAAGGGCGAUGGGUACCCAAUGCUUUUGGUUGUAAGUUCUGGGAGGUACUACUUACCCUUGGAGCCCUGUCACAGGAGGCUAGGUAUUGUGGGUGGAGCCACCAGUCCUUAGGCCCCUGAUGUGGGUAGGUGAAGACGCCGUUUAAUAGGCAAAGCAGUGUCAAACAUCAAACACCCAUCUUUCCACCGUUCAGCUGAAACAGUUGCAGUCUGGCGACAAGGGCCUAUUCUCCUGAAAUGGGCCCACACAGGUCCAUGCUGGGGUGAAAGGUAUUCAAAGCCCAUGGACUGUUUGUGCCUGAACAAGAGCUGCUUCUGUCCUGAGCUCCCCAGCUUAAUUGAGCUGGCAGAUUAUCUUUCCCCCAGUUGUGAACUUAUACCUUCUUCAAGGAUGGAAAAAUGGCUCAGAGUGGUACCAGGGCCUAUCUCAGGCCCAGGGAAGUUGACAGCCACUGAAGCCGGCUUGGGGGCUGGGGGCGUGGUAAAAUAAACACAAGUAAUUAGCUUUUGCUGAGAGUGCCGUUCUUCUCUUGUUCUGGAGGUGUGAGUAGUCUGUGCAACUUGCUGUCCUUCCCUGAGCUAAACGCCUCUGGAACACUACUGCCAGCCCCGCUGCAGUCGCUCCAGGGAACGGUGCCUGAGGGUUCCUGGCUGUUCAGGUCCAGUAACUCCUCUCCACUUCUGAAUAGUCUCUCCCUCCCCCUGCCGCUGAGUCCAUUUUCUAACUUUACCUUUGAUGUUCAGGGCUCCUAGCUUGUCAUAAAUAUAAUCGCUUCACUUGUUUUUUCUGGUCUUUUUUGUAAGAGGGAUCACUGGUGGCGUCUCAAUACUCAAAACUUCAUCAUUUCUUCCUUUCACUUUAGCUACUCGACAUUCAAGAGCAACGUUCAGAGUCUCUUCCGACAUCCGUUUUGGUCUUUUCUUUCUUUCCUGUCUUUUAAAGGAUCUCUUGCUUUCCUCAUGUGUGAUGUCCUUGAUGUCAUUCCACAACUCGUCUGGUCUUCAGUCGUUAGUGUUCAACACGUAAAAUGUGUUCUUGAGGUGGUCUCUAAAUACAGGUGAGAUAUACUCAAGGUCAUAUUUUGGCCCCUUUUGACUUAUUCUAAUUUUCUUCCGUUUCAACUUGAACUCCCAUAUGAGCAAUUGACAGUCUGUUUCACAAUCGAUCCCUGGCCUUGUUCUGACUGAUGAUAUGAGUUUUCCCAUCUUCUCUUUCCACAGAUGUAGUCAGUUUGAUUCCUGUGUAUUCCAUCUGGUAAAGUCCACGUGUAUAGCUGCCGUUUAUGUUGGUGAAAAAAAAUAUUUGCAGUGGAUGAGUCACUGGUCUUGCAAAAUUCUUUCAUGAGAUUUCUGGCGUCAUUUAUUUCAGCGAUGCUGUAUUUUCCAACUACUUUUCCUUCUUUGUUUCCAACUUUAACAUUCUAAUGACCAGUAAUUAUCAAUGCAUCUUGAUUGCAUCUUUGAUCAAUUUCAGGCUGCAGAAGUUGUUUAAAAUCUUCAAUUUCUUUAUCUUUGGCAUUAGUGGUUGGUGCAUACAUUUGAAUAGUCAUAUAAACUAGUCUUCCUUGUAAGUGUAUGGAUUUUAGCCUAUCAGUGACAACAUUGUACUUCAGGCUAGAUCUUGAAAUGUUCUCUUUGAUGAUAUGUAACGUCAUUCUUUUGACUCUGGUGGAAUAUCCAUGUUUGUAAGACUGCUCACAGACUGUUUUACCAGAGAGUUUUCUGGUACUGCAACAUCUACCACUAAUCUCUGUGAUCCCUUUGAAUUGGCAAAAUAAGAAUAGUGCUAUAGAUUUCUUCCAAAUACAGAAAACAUAAGUAUGAAAAUGUUCUUGCUGUUGAUUAUAUUCUUUACCAAUCUGUUUGUAUGGGAUUUUUGGUACUUCACUUGAAAAAUGAGUCCAAGGUACUGUGAUGUGAUUGUUUACUUUGUGUGGCCUUUCUAGCCAUGGUCUUAUAACAUCCACCCUGGUGCUUGGGCAGGACUGUGUGAUAGGGUAAUUGUGGCUCACCAAGAGGAUUGUUUAUUUUGCCUUCAAAGAGAACCAGUUCCAGAGCAAAGAGGAGGAUUCAACUCCCAUCAAGGAAGAACAGCCAAGAGCCGAGCGUAUAUUAUGGACCUGAGAUCCCUGCACUGAGAAGCUCCUAGAAGCAGGAGACUGAGAUAGAGAGAGGAAGCUGUAACCCUGAAGAUGCUUAAAUACAGACCAGAAGAGGAGUUUGGGGCUUGACACCUGACAUCUUAACACCAGUUCCUGUUUCUUGAGGAAGGAAGAGGUAAAAUAAAUCAGCGUUUGCUGUUUCCUUCUCCAUCCCCGGAAGUCCUGAUGAAGACCCUCUCAGGUAAGGAUUGACAGGGAGUGGCUUGGUUUACUAUUCAACUUUGUCCUUCAGUAACUUUGUUUAUGUCCUGCAUGUAAACUGUUGUGCAUUGAGAAGCAUUCUAAUUCUUGUGCAGAAGGACUAGACCUCCUGCAGAAUGACUAUAUUGUGCCUCCCUCGGGCACCCCUGUCUGCGCAGCACCCCCCAACGCCAACUGCCCAACCGCCUCUCUCCUGGCAUUCUGCUUCUAGAAGCAUGUUCUUUUGAUGCAGAGAUGCAGCACACACAGAAUCCCAGCUGGAUUACAGACUUGAACCUGAAGACCUUAUGCAGAAUGACAAUUUAUGAACCACUAAGCUCAGUACUAAAGCAGCUUCAACUUGAACGUGAAUAUGAGCAACUGAUCAUCUGUUCUGCAGUCAGCCCCUGCCCUGAUUCUGACUCAUGAUAUUGACCAAGUGAAGAGUGAUUCAGAGAAAAACAUGGAUAGAGUGUGACCUAAUUUCCAUAAAAACAAACAAAUGAAUGUACUUACAUGUGUCCCGGCAAAAAGAAGUGUGUAAAAGGGUACAUAUGUAUCUUUGGACACUGGACACUUCAGGGGAGCAGGUAUAAUAUACUUAUGUGGGGAUGGCUCUUAUUAUAACUUCUAUAUACAAAUCUCUAUUGUUAAAUGUGUUAUAAGAAUGUAAAAGCUUUUAAAGUUUAAUAACAUCAUACGUGUAUGUGUGUGUAUUUGAAACUUUUUUUCUUUUGACUAUUUUAUAUAUGUGUUUUUUAGUUAUCUAGUUUUUUUUUUAGUGUGGCUAUAGCAGAGAUACCAAAAGUGGAUGGCUUUAACAAACAGAAACUUAUUCUCUCACAGUUUAAGAAGCAACAAGUUUGAAGUCAGGGCACCAGGUCUAGGAGAAAGCUCUCUCUCUUUGUGGCUCUGGGGGAAGGUCCUUGUCAUCUAUCUUCCCCUGGCCUAGGAAAUUCUCAGCGCGUGGACACUGGGUCAAAAAGACGUGCUCCACUCCAGGCACUUCUUCCUUGGUGGUAUGAGGUCCCUCUCAUUUCCGCUCACUCUUCUCUUUGUAUCUCAAAAGAGACUGACUCAAGACUCACCCUAAUCCUGUAGAUUGUGUCCUCCCUCAUUAACCUAACUGCCUCUAAUCCCGCCUUAUUUACAUCACAGAGGUUAGAAUUUACAACACAUAAGUAAUCACAUCAGAUCACAAAAUGCAGGACAACCACACAAUACUGGGAAUCAUGGUCUGGCCAGGUUGGCACACAUUUUGGGGGACACUAUUCAAUCCAUAACAACAGAGAAAACACUGUCUUCAAUGCCAGAUUCAGAGACUUUUAUCAAUCUAUGAAGGGCAAACACAGAAAUUGAACAAAAUUCAGACCAGCGAAUUAUUGCUUGCUCUUGUAACUAAUGACUUCUUCUGGUCUCUGUACCUGGAAAUGGCCAAAAAGAAUUCUGUGAGGAUUAAUUCAGUUAUUGCUAAAACAUCUACUGCAUUUACAUGUCUACAGAUAAGGAAUAAUGCUGGACACCAUGUGUGAUUCAUUAAGUAACACAGGGACUAUUAGACUGUUGUUCUCCUUCUCUGAUAUGCCACUAUCACCUUCUCCCCUUGUUGCUCUCCUGAAAAACCCACACUUGUAUAUUCUAGGCUUUUUUCCAGGAUUGAAUUUGCAGGAAGUUGAAGAUACAUCUUUGAAAGAUAAAGAAGACUUUGGCCACAUUGUCUUUAGACAGUCGAACUUCCCAGCCAGCCUCUGUGCAGGAUGGGAAUUCACAAUCCCUCCUACUCAGUACCUCUGAGCAGGACGGGAUUUCUGUUUCAUUAUCAGGAGACUGUGGAAUUCACCCCUCUUCAGAAAACUUACUUUCCUUUGCCUCAAACUGUCCCUCUCAGGAUCUGUCACGGUCACUCUGAGAAAUUCACAUGGGCAGCCUGUAUGGAAGUGCCCAUCCUAGAGUCCCUGCCCUCCCUUCCUUGCUCCGUAGGGCUUCCUCCGACACUUGGGGUCACAUCUCCCAGGGAGUACACACCUCUGGCACUUCCAGGGAUUCCCAGGCCCUGGGAUACUGUGGAUGGGACUUGGAACUCAAUCUGUUUCUUCCCAUCCUCACCUUUGGUUAUCUGUGUUCUGUCUUCACCAGAUUUAGGAGGCCUUGUCUUCUCUUUGCUCAUUUCAUUUCAGUCAGGCUUUUCUAUUCCAACUCUCUGAUCUCAGGACACAUCAGGUUAGACCACAGAAAAGAGAAAGACCAAGCAAACAUCACUGAUCUGUGCAGAAGCUGCUGGGAAGGGAUUCGAUUCUCAUUGGUUUAGGGUUUUAAGCCCACUGCUCACCGGCAGGCAGGUUCCCCCCAGAGUCUGGCUUCUGUCUGGUACCUUGUACUACAAAGAACUCAGUGACCAGCCCACCUUCACAAUCACACCUCCCUUAGAGCUAUCUUUGCAGAGGCUGUUUCUCAGACUUCCAUGUCCCACUGAAAUCCCAUUUCUCUUUCCUUACAAACAUUGUGCUCAUUCUCAGGGCCCUGAGACCUCAUCUGCAGGUGAGUCUUGUCCUCUUCUCUCCUUGGCGGGGGGAGCUUUGGAGUGGACCUCAUGUCUUUGGACAGCUAUCCUGGGGCUUCUUCCACCCUGGUGCUCUAGGGCUGCAUCUCUCCAUGUACUUGAGGGGUCGUGGAAGGGGCACAAGGCUAAAAGAGUGGAUCUUCCAGGUGAGGUGGGUUUAAGAAGCCUGAAUGAAGUUCUUCCCUGAAGGGUGCAUAUUUUGCAGUCCAGACAUCCUGCUCCUCUCAGUCUAAGUGUCCUAGCACGUCUUCAGGUGCUUUCUCCUUUGACCUUGAGGCCAUGCCUGCACCCUCUGCAGCCAGGUCUCCGACAUGUGUAGCAGCACCAGUAGGUGUGGUAGCCUCUUCAGCCCCUGUCUCCUCCUCCAGAUGCUCCUGGAGGUGCCUGGCUCUUCUUGCCAGGACUCCAGGAUGCUGACCAGGGACUCAGUGUUGGUUAGACUGAGGGCAGACCUGAUGGCACUCACUUUCUUCAAAAACUCGGCCUCAAGACCAGGGGCCUUUUGCCGACAGGGGUGUGAGAUGUUUUGGUCUGGUCUGCCAGACCAUGGCUAACCCCUUGACCUUACACACUUGGGUAGAAUACUCAUACUUGACCUAUGGAUCUCUGGAGUAAUUUGAUGAGUGGGAAUUCUGCCUAGUGGAAGCUGAUGCAAAAGGCCUCGCUGAUACUUGGGGAAUCUUCCUGGGCUUGGAACUUGGGCUUUUUGUUCUCAUGUUCUACCCUGAGUGACACUUUCCUCUUGGGUUGAGACUUGCAAUAAUGGAGAGUUAAUUUACAUGAGCCCUCUGGGCUCUGGUGUCUCAACUGUGACCUAAGUCUCUGGUCUAGGGAUCCCUGGAGGCCUCUCCAUCACCACCAUCCUCCACUUCCACAGUCCCCAUGGUUUCUUUCUUCUUCCCCAGGCACAGACCAUACUUUAGGGAAUUUACUCUGGGCAAUAAAGUCUCCUCCAGAAAAUUUCAGCGAUGGUACUACCUUAUAGCAAAAGUCUAUCGUUUUUCCAAAAAUUAUAAUACAUUGAUUUAAAAAUAAAACUCCCAGUUUUCUUUUAGUAGAUUCCAAUUCAUAGCAACCCUAUAGGACAGAGUAGAACUCCCCUUAGGGUUUCCAAGGAGCAGCUGGUGGAUUCCAACUGCCAGACCUUUUAGUUAGCAGCCGAAGGUUUAUCCUGUGAUAGUU